GUCCCGUUCGUCUAGUUGGCCUAGGACACCGCCCUUUCACGGCGGCGACAGGGGUUCAAAUCCCCUACGGGAUGCCA
rnacentral:tRNA from 1 species